GACGAACGCUGGCGGUGUGCUUCACACAUGCAAGUCGAACGGAGUAGCAAUACUCAGUGGCGGACGGGUGAGUAACACGUGGGAAUCUACCAUUAGGUGGGGAAUAACAGGCCGAAAGGACUGCUAAUGCCGCAUAUGUAGGCAUCUCGACAGAGAUGUUUAUGAAAGGAGUAAUCCGCCUUUUGAUGAGCCCGCGUCCGAUUAGCUAGUUGGUAGGGUAAAAGCCUACCAAGGCGACGAUCGGUAGCUGGUCUGAGAGGAUGAUCAGCCACAAUGGGACUGAGACACGGCCCAUACUCCUACGGGAGGCAGCAGUGGGGAAUUUUACGCAAUGGGGGAAACCCUGACGUAGCGACACCGCGUGAGCGAAGAAGCCCCUUGGGGUGUAAAGCUCUGUCAACAGGAACGAAACAAAUGACGGUACCUGUGGAGGAAGCAUCGGCUAACUACGUGCCAGCAGCCGCGGUAAGACGUAGGAUGCAAGCGUUGUCCGGAUUUAUUGGGCGUAAAGAGUUCGUAGGCGGUUUGUUAAGUCUGAUGUUAAAGACCGGGGCUCAACCUCGGAAAUGCAUUGGAUACUGGCAGACUGGAGUGCAGUAGAGGCUAGUGGAAUUCCCAGU
rnacentral:rRNA from 1 species